CAGUAGCCGCGGUAAUACGAAGGGUGCAAGCGUCAAUCGGAAUUACUGGGCGUAAAGCGUGCGUAGGCGGUUUGUUAAGUCUGUUGUGAAAUCCCCGGGCUCAACCUGGGAAUGGCAAUGGAUACUGGCAAGCUAGAGUGUGUCAGAGGAUGGUGGAAUUCCCGGUGUAGCGGUGAAAUGCGUAGAGAUCGGGAGGAACAUCAGUGGCGAAGGCGGCCAUCUGGGACAACACUGACGCUGAGGCACGAAAGCGUGGGGAGCAAACAGGAUUAGAUACCCCAGUAGUCCCUGUCUCUUAUAA
rnacentral:rRNA from 1 species